rnacentral:rRNA from 1 species
CAGUAGCCGCGGGAAUACGAAGGGGGCUAGCGUUGCUCGGAAUGACUGGGCGUAAAGGGCGCGUAGGCGGUUUGCCAAGUUAGAUGUGAAAUUCCCGGGCUUAACCUGGGGACUGCAUUUGAUACUGGCAGGCUUGAGUGUGGAAGAGGGUCGUGGAAUUUCCGGUGUAGCGGUGAAAUGCGUAGAUAUCGGAAGGAACACCUGUGGCGAAAGCGGCUCACUGGACAAUAACUGACGCUGAUGCACGAAAGCUAGGGGAGCAAACAGGAUUAGAUACCCCUGUAGUCCCUGUCUCUUAUAA